rnacentral:tRNA from 1 species
GCAAAGGUAGUUUAUUAAAAUAUAGACUUUGGGUGUCUAAGAUAUUAGCUUUCUAAUUCUUUGAA